GUCAGGAUGGCCGAGUGGUCUAAGGCGCCAGACUCAAGUUCUGGAUGUAAGGGUAUUCUGGUCUCUGACUGGAUGCGAGGGUUCAAAUCCCUCUUCUGACA